CUUAGCUCCUGAUCCAGCAAGCCCUCUGGGACACAGGCCUAAUGCACUAUGUUCCUUUUACUAAAAUGCCAAGUCUGCAUUUAUUACACUAUUGAUAACCAGUGUUGUGGCUGGAUCAGCCCUUGUGGUUCUUAAUAUGAUUGCAAGAUGCCCUUAGCAAUAACCAUCAGAAAACUUGAAGACAAAAAGCCCACCGGCCCAUGGCUAACAGGACCACAGGUGGCCACCUGACACGUGGUGAUCCAGUCAGUUUUUCUUUCCAUGAAGAAUUUAGAAUGGGGAGUUAGAAAGAGAAGGUAGGUUUUUGUGGACAACUAGAACCAAGGGUAAAUAAAUUUAGAAGCUGUGGAAAAGAGGAGAGAAAAACUGGUCUGCAGAGAUAAGGAAGCAUGAAACAAAUUAAGAGAGAGAAUUAUAGAAGAUAAAGUAACGAAAAAAAGAGGUCUUCUGGCUUUCUAGUCUCUGGUUUCUUCUGGAACGCCCAGCUGCCUAUUUUUAAGAAUAAGAAGUCCUAUUCUAAGUUUCAAUGAGACAAACUUGUGUCCUUAAAAUAAACUGUUCUUUUUAGCUUAAACUAGAUGCACUUGGUUUCUUUAACUUGCAACCAAAGAAUCUAUUCUACAAUGCACAUCUCUGCCAGCAAAAAUGGACCUGUCCCUUAGCUCCUUGGCCUUAUCACUCCAAAUCUGUGCAAAGAAAGUAACUGAAUGAUCCUAAAUUUCUAUCUGAUUUAAGCUCAGCCUGUAGCAACCCACCUCCCUGCCCUACAAGCAUCCCCAGGCUAGAUGUAGCACUGCUUAACCCAGCUACUGCUCCCAAAUAUGUGCGCCCCCACCUAGGUUCCAGAACUGGUUUACCAGACAUCUGAGUUGGGCUCUAAGCCAGCCAUGCCAUUGUGAAAGGGGGGAUGAAGCGUCCAGACUCGAAUGUCCCUGGAAAAUUGCCCCCAGGCUUGAGGAGGAUGAAGAGGAAGGUGAUCUGGAAAGCCACUGCAAUUGAGAAGAAAUGUGUGCUUCAUCUGGAUAACGAAUGCUGUUAGCCACAGAGCGCGGAAUAAACCUAAGGACUUGGGAGUGUAAUUCUUUCUUGAAAGGCUGGUUUGUAUCAAUAAUUCAGUGAGGAAUAUUUUCCAAAGCUAUAAGCCAGAUGGUUUUGUAACCAAGAUUUUUUUUUUUUUAAAGAUUUUAUUUUUUUUCCUUUUUCUCCCCAAAGCCCCCGGGUAUAUAGUUGUAUAUUCUUCGUUGUGGGUCCUUCUAGUUGUAGCAUGUGGGAUGCUGCCUCAGCAUGGUUUGAUGAGCAGUGCCAUGUCCGCGCCCAGGAUUCGAACCAACGAAACACUGGGCUGCCUGCAGCGGAGCGCGCGAACUUAACCACUCGGCCACGGGGCCAGACCUGUAACCAAGAUUUUUUAACACAUGCAUGGUUGCCUUGAUCCCUGGCUGU
rnacentral:lncRNA from 1 species